rnacentral:rRNA from 1 species
AUACGGAGGGUGCAAGCGUUAAUCGGAAUUACUGGGCGUAAAGCGCACGCAGGCGGUCUGUUAAGUCAGAUGUGAAAUCCCCGGGCUUAACCUGGGAACUGCAUUUGAAACUGGCAGGCUUGAGUCUCGUAGAGGGGGGUAGAAUUCCAGGUGUAGCGGUGAAAUGCGUAGAGAUCUGGAGGAAUACCGGUGGCGAAGGCGGCCCCCUGGACGAAGACUGACGCUCAGGUGCGAAAGCGUGGGGCGCAAACAGGAUUAGAUACCCUGGUAGUCCACGCCGUAAACGAUGUCGACUUGGAGGCUGUUCCCCUGAGGAGUGGCUUCCGGAGCUAACGCGUUAAGUCGACCGCCUGGGGAGUACGGCCGCAAGGUUAAA